AUACGGAGGGUGCAAGCGUUGUUCGGAAUUAUUGGGCGUAAAGCGCGUGUAGGCGGUCUGUUAAGUCUGGUGUGAAAGCCCUGGGCUCAACCCAGGAAGUGCAUUGGAUACUGACAGACUUGAGUAUGGGAGAGGAAAGCGGAAUUCCGAGUGUAGGAGUGAAAUCCGUAGAUAUUCGGAGGAACACCAGUGGCGAAGGCGGCUUUCUGGACCAAUACUGACGCUGAGACGCGAAAGCGUGGGGAGCAAACAGGAUUAGAAACCCGAGUAGUCC
rnacentral:rRNA from 1 species